rnacentral:rRNA from 1 species
UACAGAGGGUGCAAGCGUUAAUCGGAAUUACUGGGCGUAAAGCGUGCGUAGACGGUUAUGUAAGUCGGGUGUGAAAGCCCCGGGCUCAACCCCGGGCCUGCAGCCGAUACGGGCAAGCUAGAAUUCGGUAGGGGAGACUGGAAUUCCUGGUGUAGCGGUGAAAUGCGCAGAUAUCUGGAGGAACACCGGUGGCGAAGGCGGCAUUCUGGACUAUUUCUGACACUGAUGAACGAAAGCCAGGGGAGCAAACGGG